GUUGAUGUAUAAAUACAAGGAGGAAAGGAAUUUAGGGUAAAAACUACUCUACAACUGAUUUAUUCUCUACAACUGAAACUAGAUAAAUACAAAAAAUAAAUAAAUAAAAUUAUAUUACAGGUUGUAUAAGUAGUGAAUCCUGAUCUUCUAGAAGAGUGGGCCUUUUAGCUGCGUCCAGUGAUGAGCCCAAUAGAAAAUAAGCCUGUCCUCUUUACAGAUCAAAAGAGAGUCCGGUCAAAUAAGGGACAACAUUUUCGAACAAACCAAACCUUAGCCACUCAAACAUCAACUACUUCUGUUAUCACUCUAAGAAAUUAGGGUAACACCGCUCCCUCCUUCCCUUCCCCCCCCCCCCCCCGCAAGUUGGAGGGGGAGGUACAAACACCGAAAUUUCCCAAUAGAUUCUAAUGAAGAGGACCUGUGAGAUGUUUAGUAAAGAGAUCCGCAAGCUGAGAAUCAGAUCGAACAAAGGAAAGAGAAUUAAGCGCAGCAAGAAAUUGUUGUCGCACAAAGUGAUAGUCGAUUUCGACAUGUUUGGUUCGUUCAUGGAAUAUAGGGUUUUUGGUGUUAUGAAGUGCAACUUUACUAUCGGAAUGAAGAGGAACAAGCAAAAAGAUUAAGGAUUGACAGAUCUUCAAAAGGGCGAACAAACAAAGUGAGUUCAGCUACAACUCGUCGCAUAAAACAGUAUUCCGCCUCCACAGAACUAAGUGAGAUGGAGGUUUUCUUCUUUUACUUCCAAGAAAUAGGAGAAGAACCCAGGUAGAUGCAAUUCUUUUUGUCCUUUGUUGUUCUUGAACCUUUUGAAAUUUGCUCCCUGAUUGUUAGCAUUAAAAGAAGCUAAAUCCCCGGGAUAAGCAGGUGUAGCAUGGAUUCCUCUUUGUUUCUCAUCUUGAAUGAUUAGAGAAUAAGCCUUUCCUAUAGAGGGUAAAGGGGAGGAUAGGAGUAUGUUUCUCCUUACACCAAUGAAUGUAUCAUUUUGACCCAUUAGAAAUUGCAGAAGCCUUUCAUCUUGUUGUGCUUUCUGUGACUUUGCCUUAAAUCUAGACUCAACACACUACAAAAAAUUUAGCUUACAACCACACUUAUUUUAGACUAUGCCCAAGAAGUGUUACCAAAAAUACUUAUGGGAACGCUUUCAAAUGGUGGUCUUUGAGUAGAGUCUUUGACUAUGGUUUUUAAGGCAAUACUUGAAAAACGUUGCUUUAAAAUGAAAAGACUACACUUUUUAAGGGCGGCUAAUAAAACGUUCCUUUAAAACGAAAAUACUACACUUUUUAAGGGUGGAUAAUAAUAAAAUAUAUGGAAACCUUUAUUAUAGAUUUUUAAGAGUGGUUUUAUCGGCAGAACUAAUGUUACCCUUUAGAAGCGUACCCUUAAAAUUUUCCCAAAAAUUUCCGAAAAAUUAAAAAGGCAAUAACAUCGAUACUCAUCUAUAUACCUCUUUCCAAAAGUACUGGAAAAAAUUAAUCCAUCCGCAAUUCGUUCCCCCCUCCCAUAGUUUCGUUUUACUCAGCUUUGCGUCGCUUAUGUUACCGAACCAACACCGCUAUUGUCCCCUGGGAUGACUGGUAUGGUGUGCUCUUUCUUUUGUUCGGCUGAUUGACUACUAUUUUCUCUCUUCCUCAUUCAUCUUUUUAAUUUUUUUCUUUUGGUUUGAUAUUAAUAUACCUGAACAGCUAAACUUUGCUCAGGAUCGACAAUCUUUUGUUGUUCAAGAUGAGCGGUUAAGAUCUCUUCUGGCGAUUACGCAGUCAUGACCAUGAGAGUUUUAUGAAAAAAUAAUUUUUUCAGUUCAGUUGUUAAGAGAGACUCACACUGACUCCUAAAGCCUUAGACGUCAAAGAAAUUAAUGAAUUUUUUGUUCUUGCUUAUGAUUCAGCGGGUAAUAAAUUAUGAUUAUAUUAUCUUUACCAAUACUGAUCUAGAAAUCACUAAUUUUCUUCUAACAUUGUAUCAUUAUUUGAUUAGAAAUAUUUCAUGUGUGCAUUUGUUAAUUAUGCUAAUUAAGCAUAGGGAAAAAUUAAUAUAGUCGUAAAUUCUUAUUAAGCUGUAGGGAUUAUCUAUGUUUAGCUUUGCUAUCUUCUGAAUGUUAAAAUUUACAUUUCAACACAUGCUUCAUUGUUACGAGAGGUCUUGUAUAUGGCAAACUUGGAUACAGAGCUAUUCAUGUUAGUAUUUUUGCAUUGAAUUCUAAUAAUAUUUGAUUCUUUUCUCUACCAAAAUUAGUCAACACUCGGGAAGAUCUGUGGUAUACUUGAAGUUAGGUUUGGCAUAAAAUGAGUGUCAUGACUAGGUAAGAGAUUUUUAUUCUCUUUAUUUUCUUAGUAUGCUCCUAUACAACACCCUAUUUUGGAAAGUUAUUCUUAAUUUUUACGAUCUAUUUGUUAAGUAUAGUUAUUGAUUAAAUGAAUAUCUAUUUUCAAAUCUAAUAUAACCAUUGAUUUUUAGGUUUUCAAAUGUUUUGUCCUAAGGCUGGAUGGAUCUACCAAGAAAUAGCAAAGAGUAUACUGAUGGUGUUCAAUAUUUCUUAGGGUUUGCUAAUUCAAAUGAUGAAUGUUUGUACAUGUUUCGCUAGAAAAGUCGUUCAGUCAAUUUCUUGAUUAACAACUAAAGAAACUCUAGAAACUACCACAACAAUAACAACAUACCCAGUAUUAUCCUACAUCAUGGGGUUUGGGGAAGGUAGUGUGUACUAGGGCUGUUCAAAACCGAACCGUAAUCGUUAACUGAACUGCAAAAUUGGCUUAUUGGUAUCGAGUUAUUGGGGUAGUGGUUGGUGAAUGGAUUUAGA
rnacentral:lncRNA from 1 species